AUACGUAGGGGGCGAGCGUUGUCCGGAAUGAUUGGGCGUAAAGGGCGCGUAGGCGGCCCGGUAAGUCUGGAGUGAAAGUCCUGUUUUUAAGAUGGGAAUUGCUUUGGAUACUGUCGGGCUUGAGUGCAGGAGAGGUAAGUGGAAUUCCCAGUGUAGCGGUGAAAUGCGUAGAGAUUGGGAGGAACACCAGUGGCGAAGGCGACUUACUGGACUGUAACUGACGCUGAGGCGCGAAAGUGUGGGGAGCAAACAGGAUUAGAUACCCUGGUAGUCCACACCGUAAACGAUGAAUGCUAGGUGUAGGGGGUAUCGACCCCUUCUGUGCCGCAGUCAACACAAUAAGCAUUCCGCCUGGGGAGUACGGCCGCAAGGUUGAAACUUAAAGGAAUUGACGGGG
rnacentral:rRNA from 1 species